rnacentral:lncRNA from 10 species
UGUAGUCCCAGCUACUCGGGAGGCUGAGGCAGGAGAAUCGCUUGAACCUGGGAGGCGGAGGUUGCAGUGAGCCGAGAUUGCACGAUUGUACUCCAGCCUGGGUAGUAAGAGCGAAACUCCAUCUCAGAAAAACAAAAAACAAAAACAAAAAAGCAAAACAACCCUUGGCUCCUCAAGCAUGUGAGCUCAGGCAGGGCCAGCCCAGCCUUAACUGUGGAGGCUGGUGGGACAGUCCCAUGGGGAAGCCCACUGCUGCGCCGCUUGGAGGAGGAAACCCAGCAUGUGAGGCUGCUCAUUGUCACGUGGUUUGCUGUGCUCUGCAGAAGGAGAUUCUGUGUUCACACCCAGGAUGUCAUGGAAGAGGAGCUCAUCCCAUUCAUCUCCCUGGCACAGGGUAGACACUUGGGGGAUGCUGCAUUAAGUGAAGUGAACCUGACUCUGUUUCUUUAGCCCCAGCCCACCCGAGUCUCAAUCUUCCCAUCUGUCAAGAGAAAUAAUAAGAUUAUUUGCCUCUAAACAGGUGGCUGAGAUCAUAGAUAGUGCAAAUGAUGUCACUGUUGGACUCUCCGGUGUUAUAUAAAUUUAAGACAUGAACAAUAAAGAAACUACCGAUAUUUACUGCUCAGACAUGCCCACGUUAAGAUUUUAAUGGCUAAAAGGCAGUUGUUUUUCCAUCUGACAUUAUGUUAUUCAACAGAGUAAGUAGUCUAAGUUGGAGGAAUCCCCUUGGGAAUUGACUACAAAGAGCAAAUAAAAAAGAGUAACAGAUCCAAGACCCUUACCCCUUAAAUUUAUUUUCACUUCCUAAAUUGAACUUCAUGCAAAAUAGGUUAUUUAUCACUAGGGUAAAAUAAGAUAAUGGGGAGGUUUAAUUAGCCAAAGCCCUGUGAUAACGCGUUUCUUCCUUACCAAAUACCCAAUGAGAAUGCAUAUCAUUAAUUCUGUGGUUAGCUAAUAAGAAAAUGAAAAAAGCUCCCUUAAUUUUUCCUUGAAAAAAUUUUUAAACUAACACAAAGAUGCCAAUGAAUGAGUAUUUUGCUUACAUCCAUUCACUCCAUCCAACUCUCAUUCAAAUGCUCAUUGUGCACCUGCUAAGGUCAGGUGCGUGCUUUCUGCCAAGCAUUCCAAGAGGAACGUCACAUAGUCUUUGCCCUCAGGAAGCGUACGGUCUGGUUGGGAAAGAGAUGCUUCCAACAAUAAUUCUGAUACCUGUGUGAUAUGGUUUGGCUGUGUCCCCACCCAAAUCUCAUCCUGAAUCCUACUCCCAUAAUUCCCACGUGUUGUGGGAUGGAACUGGUGAGAGAUAAUUGAAUCACGAGCGCGGUUUCUCCCAUACUGUUCUUGUGCUAGUGAAUAAAUCUCACGAGAUCUGAUGGUUUUAUAAACGAGAAGCCCUUUUCGCUUGACCCUCAUUAUAGCUCAUGCCGCAGCCAGGUAAGAAGUGCCUUUCGCCUUCCGCCUUCCGCCAUGACUGUUAGGCCUCCCUAGCCACGUGGAACUUUAAGUCCAUUAAACGUCUUUCUUUUAUAAAUUGCCCAGUCUUGGGUAUGUCUUUAUCAGCAGCGCGAAAACAGAUUACUAACACACUGUGGUAAAGGUGAAAUCAGUGCUCACUCCUUCGGGUGAAUUCCGUCACAUAAUCUCCACUGGGGAAGGGGUGGGCAUGGGCAGCUCCUGGGAGCUGAUGUCUUAGGGGCCCUAACACAAAAGUUCAUGCAGUUCAGCAUCCCUUCCCCUCCCAUGCCCCACAGGGCACAAACGCAUUGUUGUCCAUCACCAAAACACAUUACCCUUAGUACUCGACUCUAAUGAAGUUCCAGUUCCUCAGUUGUAUAACGAGGCUUCCAAGCUCCUAUUUUAAAAGAAAGUUUCUUGAAGCUAAAUAAAAGCACUGCUAACAUGAAAUUAACAGUGGAAAUUUUUGAGUGUAAUUUCAGGGUGAAAAAAACUGAAAAGACAAAUGUAGAUUUUAGAUAUUUCAAGGAAGGAGAGAGAGUAGUGUUGCUGGUACCAUGCCUCUGCACUUGCUAUAGCUGAGUUUCAUUUGAGUAUCCAUUAUUUGGAAGGAGUUCUUAAAUCUAAGCCUGUGGAAGACAAUAAAUUCACAUUAAUUAUCUCUCCAUUUGACUCAAUUUCUGAAGAAGUUCUAUCCUUCUGAUGAACUAUCAGAUUAAAUCCCAGAUUCCUCAGUAUGAUGUCCCUGAAUACCAAUAUAAAGAAUAAAGGAAGAGAUCAAAACCUGGAUGAAUAAUCUGUAUAAACAUGGGCAUAUACACAAGGUAUGACUAUAAUAUUGAGACUCAUCCUAUAAAGCACCUACAAAAGUUGAUUGUAUUAUUUUAUACUUAUGCUUGUGCACAUAAAAAAUAUUUGGCAGGCUAAAGGCCAAAGAACCAGGCACUGUUCUCAAAAGGACAUAGCAGAUUAACUACACCUCUAUUUGUCCUUCUAUACUCAAGGCUACUUACUGUAGUUGGGUUGACCAGGCAGAGUUUAAAUCAAUAUAUGUUGGUUGAGCCUGGAUCUUAGAUGAGAAAUUCACACUAACGUGAAAUUCACACAGACAUAUGUGGAAACACUAAAAACAUUUUCUUUUACUUCAUCCACCAGUGACUUUAAUGAAAGCAGAGCAUAAUAAUUAAUACAAGUAAUUAGAGUUGACAACUGAAGUGUCAAGAAAACCACAGUUCAUCUGUUAUCCGUCCAUCUCUGUUGAAAUAUUAGUUUACUGCCAUAUAUUAAUCUAUUUAUAAAGAGAUCCAGACAAUUAGAAAAAUUAGUCUGGAAUCACCAGGCUGAAGGCUUAGCUGAAGUUAAAAGACAAGUAAAAAUGCCUCCAAACUGUAAAACCUGAGUUGGGGAAUAAAUGGUAAAAUGUGUAAAAAUUUAGAAAAAGGUUAUAUGUGGACUGUAAAAAAUACACUGGACUCACAGGUAAUUAAGGGGUGAAUCAGAGUUGUUUCCUAAAUGGCAUAAGCCAAACUCUUAGAUAUUUCUACCAUUAGCUAAAAGGCAGAGAAGCACUCUCUCUCUCUAUUAAUGCACUUUUAAAAAUGAAAAUUGUGAAGUGUUCUGCCCUUAAAGUGGACCUUUAUUUCAGGUCUGCAUUACUUUGCUUAAUAGAUAUGGUCCUAAAGAUUAAGGUGGUGAUCCAUUUUAUCUUGUAAAAAUGCAUAAUUUAAUCUGAGUUAUAGGAAUUUAAAGCUGCCCUACUUUGAAGGCCUUUGUGACUCAAAGAUUUUUUUAAUUUAAUUUUUAAAUUGAGAAUUACCUGGCUUGGGCUUUUGGUCUUUUUAUAAUACGUAUUGCUGUCUACUUUUUUUUUUAUUCUUGGCUGCCUCAAGCUAUUCUUGCCUCCAAAAGGUGUCAGCAUAUGAAUAAAAACAGCAGAAAAUAAUUACCCUAAUUAGGUCAAUGUAUUAAGCUGUUUCUACAACUGUUUCUCUUAAACACCUUAUCUUUGUAGUCUUGGCUCAUUAGAAAUUCGACUAGUGGUAAGUAUUUAUUUUUUUCCUUCAAGGGGGUUUUUGCUUUGCUAAGCCUCGGGCAUUUGGUUCGUGCAAGAAAUCACAGAAACUGCUCCAGCGGACUCCGAAAGGAGCGGAAAAUUCUUUUGUUUGGGGGCCAUGAGGGGUGGGGGAGGGGUGGGGAUUCUGGUGUAAGCUUUUGGCUUGCAUUCGCUUUCUCCCUCCGAAAGUGGGCGACAUCAAGCAAGUCCCAGUUACAGAAAGAACCCACUGCAGGGCGUCCAGUCACUUGCCCAGUGAAAAGACUGUAAUCAGACAACUUUAAUAAAGGGAGAGCAGGAGAGUGGUGACGAAUUUCCACAUUCCGAACAAGCUUGUCGAAAGAGGAGUGCAGGGAAGGAGCAAGAAUGAGGCACUGGAAGACGGUGAGCGGGGCCUUGCCACAGAAUCCCGGGCCCACCUGCUUUCUCACAGUCGCGACAGCCGGCCCGGAGAAGGGCAGCCCAGCGAAGGGCACGCCCCGCGCGGGUGCCAGGGAGGCCGGCAGGGGCGUCCGCGGUCGCUGCUCACCUGCGCUCCCCGCUGCCCGGCCCAGCCCGCCUCGCCACCGAGUCUGGAAGCCCACACUCACCCCUUUACCCGGGAAACGCGGCCGGAGCCGGCGGCGGGUCGGGAGUCCGAGAUGGUAGAUCCCCCUCCAGGCGCCUCGCUGACAUUUUGUCCCGGACGGAAAACCUCCGCGCGUGCCCCUUAAAGACACAGCGCUGCAUUCACACGUCUGCGGGGAAAGGGGGGCCGUCACGUGUGGCCUUCGCCCGAAAGCGGUAGGGGAGUCGCUCUGAAACCGCCAAGGAUCGCGAGCGACAGAUUUGUGUUGGCCAGGGUUUUAAGAUGACGCAAUAGCUGAGUGUGGUUGAAAUGUAACUAUUGUUUUACAACUUUGCAUUAACCUUCCAAGACCUGAAUUCCCGGGCCUGAGUCUCAGAGCGCGGUUUGCAUCUUUGCAGGCUGUAGGCGCAUGAUGUCACAAGUUAUUGGAAGAAAUCCCUCCAACCUAGGUUGGGACAGAUGAAGGCGGCGCUUAUUGGUGUUCACCAAAACACCAGCAUGGUGUACCAGCUUUGGCUAGAUGAUGCUCAGGAAAACACAGAUCCUGGUGCCGAACAUGAGGACAGGGCAGGCCGAAGGAGAAAGUGGAAGGAGGGGAGCUUCUCUCUCAGCCUCAUCCUUCUGGGCCUGGAUGCUGGAGAGUCAUGAGGUGCUUCAGAGUACUCUGGGUGAGGAGGGAAAGAUGGUGCCCACCACAUGGAGGCCAGCCUAGGUCUUGUAUGAAACCUGUGAGGCCAGCAGGAGCCAGGCCGUGGCCUGCUGACUGCAUCUGCCAGAUGACUACCAAUGUCUAGCUGAAAGCAGAGAACCCAGCAGAGGAUUCUGGGAAGGUCCUGGGGGAUGGCAGAGCCAGCAGAGAGAGGGUAUGGAUCCACCAGGCAUAGGAUGGAACAGAGCACUAUUGACCACAGUGAACUGGGGCAUGGGCAAUCAAUAAACACAUAUUAGAUUAAGCUAUUGAGACUCAGGGAUUUUUAUACAACUGACAUUCCCUAAGAAGCCAUGAUCUUCCUGUCUCAGGAGGUGCAUAAGCAGUGGUUGAAUGUUCAACAGUCAAGAAUGUUAUAAAAAGAGGUUCUUGGGAGAGUGGACCUGAUGGCCAGCAAAAAUCAUAGCUCACAUUUAUUGAGUUAUUAUGGCUCAGGCAUGUGCACAUAUUCUUUUAUUUAAAUCUACAAUAUGCUUUAUCAUGCUCAUUUUAUACAUGAGGAACACAAGGCAUGGAGAGGUUAGAUAACAUGCCUAAGAUCAUGAAGCAAGCAAGGGGGAGAAAAGAUACCCUUCUCACUCCUUCCAGACAGCUCACUUCACCACCACUCCCCACUGUCUCUAAAGCAAAAGUUAUUUGAAGGCUUAGGGACUGGUUUGGUAUUAUCCAUGCAGGGCGGUUUGUUUUGUUUUUCUUUUAAAAUUUCAGCCUAUGCUUAAAAGAUUUCAUGUAAAAAUUCUGUUUUCUAGUUUCUCUUGAAAAUUAAGAAGAUCUGGUAAAACUGGGCUUGAAGACCAUUAUGGUAACAGGCUGCUGAAGCUGAGGAGAGGGCCCCUUCAGAUGGGCAUAAGCACUGCUCCCCCUCCCCAACCCCCCUUUUAGGUUACUAUCAGACUCUGGAAGCUUCUGAAUGUGUGAACCCUGAAAGAGUCCAUCUAAAGCUAAGUUCUCCCCAGGGGUAGAGCCCAAUGCUGGGCAUACAGUAGGG